rnacentral:tRNA from 1 species
GGAGAGAUGGUCGAGCGGCUGAAGGCACCGCACUCGAAAUGCGGCGUACGUGUGAGCGUACCGAGGGUUCAAAUCCCUCUCUCUCCGCCA